rfam:Fusarium poae strain 2516 mitochondrion mitochondrial, whole genome shotgun sequence.
CCAUUCCAUUUCUGAUCACCUGAAAAAAAGGACUUAGGGAAUCCUUAUCAACAUACGUUGGGUGUAAACUACCAAAUUCCAGGGAACCCCUAAAGCUUCUGGUACUAAGCCAUACAUGAAAAUGUAUGAGUGGCUGAAUUAACUACUCAGGUAUAGUAACAAGCCAGAAGAUGAGUGAAAACAAAAUGGGCGAUUGUGGAUCUAAGUCAGUAAUACAUGAAACCAAACAGUCAUGUAUUAUUGUAAAAGAGCAACGAGUAAAUGGUAGUUGAUGCGGUAUUAAUAUACCGCAUUUAAGAUGUACUCUACUGGGCUUCGUAAGAAGUUA